UACGGAGGAUGCAAGCGUUAUCCGGAAUGAUUGGGCGUAAAGCGUCCGCAGGUGGCAAUGUAAGUCUGCUGUCAAAGCGUCUGGCUCAACCAGAUAAAGGCAGUGGAAACUACAUAGCUAGAGUAAGGUAGGGGUAGAGGGAAUUCUUGGUGUAGCGGUGAAAUGCGUAGAGAUCAGGAAGAACACCGGUGGCGAAAGCGCUCUGCUGGACCUUAACUGACACUGAGGGACGAAAGCUAGGGGAGCGAAUGGG
rnacentral:rRNA from 1 species